AUUGUCGUUCGGUUGUAUUGUGAUUAACGCCGCGAAGAAUUUUUUAUUAUUAUUUUUUUUUUCAACCAUCACAGACAGUUUAUUACAUAUAGAAGUAAAUACGCUUUUUUUUACCCGUUGCCGACGACGGACUGUUGUAGAUCUAUAAAAAAAAAAUAAUAAUAAUAAAUAAAAAAUAAACCGAAUGGAAAACUUGCACAGCCGAUCAUCAUUUAUAAUUAUUAUUCAAUCACGUUGCUCGCAUCGAGUGACAUGUUUAUUACUUUUUUUUUGCAACCAUAAAAAGAACGUUACCUAUACAGAAGUGCAACGCUGUUUCCGCCUUUACGAGCAAAAAUUCGAAGAAGAAAAAGAAAACGCUGUUUUGUUUGCAGCGAAUUUAAACUAUUAAAUAGUAACAAUGUUCGAAAAAUGUAAGUAUAAUAUGAACAUGUGACUCCAAGGUCUGUGAUUAACAGAUUUCAGGGAAAUCAAUAGAAAUAAAUAAUAAAACUGCGAGUCGAGUGAUGGGAAUCGGACUCGAACUCGAACUCGACCCUACUAUGGAAACCAUUGAAAAGUGUAUAUAGGUAAGUGUUAUAAUAAGAAAUGUUAACAGCACUCAGAAAUAUCAUCUCAAUUUAGUGUUAUCAAUCACAAAAUAGUAAUAAUAUUUAUAUUUAAAAGUGACCGUUAUGAGAAAUAUUACGUAUGAACAGUGGCGUACCAAGAAUUUUGUAUGGGGGAUGGGACGUUUCAAAAAAAAAUCCCAUUAAAAAAUUAUCUUUAAUUAGACUUUUUGUAAAAUCAUGUUUUUAUUAGAUUAUGCCAGUGGUUCUCAACAAGUGUAACAUUGACCCAGUGUACUCUGUGACACGAAAUUAUCGGAGAAGAGAAAAAAAAAUAAGAGAACUUUUAAUUGUUUAGACUAAUAUCGUAUUAUUGCCUUCGCCGUCAUCUAACCACUAACACCGUCCGAACAUCAUAAUAUUCACUCCCAAUCACUCACUUUUCAACGAUACCACUGCUAGAAUUUCCUAUAAUUUCAAUGGACUGCUAAUGCAUUGACAGGGCAACUCAGUGUUGGAUUAUUGUGGAUAAGGGUGACACGAAUCAAUAAAGGUUGAGAACCACGGGAUUAUGCAAUACAUUAGUUAUGAAAAUAAAUCAUUACAAUAUUAUAAUAAUACUCAUUUAAUAUUUAUUACAAUUAGUCAAUAUUUGUUGAUUAAUUAUGAACAUAUUAAAAUUGUUAAAAUAAUUAUUACAAUAAUUUAUUAAGUAGGUAUUAAUGGGUGUUAGCUAACAUAAACACUGUUAAUAGGGAAGACUAUAGCUCUCUUAGCCCCCUGGAUACGUCAAUGCGUGUGAAUAUAAUGUCAAGUCAACAUCUCAUUUCGUUGUAGAAAUGAAAAGUCUCGUAAUGGCAAAUCGGGACGGAAUCUAAAAAAAAAGAAAAAACGCUCGUUUACAUACGUAUAUAAUUUUCCUCGUUUUGUAUUUUUGUUCGUUCAGUUUUUCGCAAUUUUCCAACGGGGAAAUUAUAAAAUGCGAUUCUCUAAUGCUUAGUCAUUAUCAACAAUUAUUAAACACAUCCAAAAUAAUAUAUUCACUAUAGUCAUUCUAACGUGUUUCUAUGUUAUAAAAUUCACUUUAAGGAAUUCACUCUUGUUAGUAUUCUUUUUUCUCUCCGUGUCCAUUGAAUAUUAAAACUAUAUUAUUCUCAUAAUGUUGAUAUAACAAUCUAAUAUAUAAUUAUUUUUCGGUGAAAUAUAGUUGUAGUACAUAUAGGUGCAUUGUUGAAAUUAUUUGUCUAGGAAUAUCUAAAAUAUAAUUAGUUACUAUAUUUUGACUUUUAUAUCUUUUAUCUAAAUAAAAUAAAACUAGGUAUUGUAUCUUUAUCUUCCGGAUUAUUAUUAGUAAAUACGUAUAUAUAUAGGUAUACUGAGUUUACUGCAUCAUUUCUCUAGCCAAACAAUAAUAACUAAUUUUCCAUAUUCAAAAAUAAAGGUAAUAAACCGAAGUAAACUUACUAGGUAGAUAUACUUAUCUAUACACCUAUAUAUAUAUACAUAUCUAAAGGCCAUAUUAUAUUUAUCUUUUAUCAAGAUUUAUCUUCCCCUACACUGCAUUUAGGAUGAUUAUACCUACGCGUAUUGAUUGAAACGUAUUUUUAUCACGUAAUUUGUUUUCCCCUUCGCGUAAGUUAUUUCAAUGUGAAAUGCCGUCUAUUCGUACGCAUAGAAGUAUUCAUCAAAAUUGACAAGUUGCGCGUGUUGAAAUUCGCCUUUAAAGAAUAAUAAGUAUACACGAUGAAAAAUAAUUGUUCGUGAUCCAGUGAAUAUUGCUAGUGAAACACGUGCACACGUGGCGGUUCAACGUUUAGUUCUGCAUUAUAUUAUUAUAGUGGUGUAUUCAUGUUGCUUAUGGGAAAUUAAAAAGCCCUGGAGUUUUGUUUACAGAUAUAUAAUAUUGCAUUGUAUAUAUAUUUAAUACAAUAACCAAUCAAUCAACCGGCGAUUUUUCUUAAUCACCGAGAAAUCACUAUAAAGUAAUAAUAAUAUGGUACUGCCCAUACAUGGUUUUGGCCAUAGGAUAUUGCUAAUGAAUUAAAUAAUAAUUUCUCGGUAUACCUCUAUGUACAAACGGCGGUUAGAUAUUAUUUAACUUUUCACAAAUGGCGUAAGUCCUUGGCACGCGUGACGAAAAUUGGACUCGUCGACUUU
rnacentral:lncRNA from 1 species